rnacentral:rRNA from 1 species
UGGGGAAUAUUGGACAAUGGGCGCAAGCCUGAUCCAGCCAUGCCGCGUGAGUGAUGAAGGCCCUAGGGUUGUAAAGCGCUUUCAGCGGGGGAAGAUGAUGACGGUACCCGCAGAAGAAGCCCCGGCUAACUCCGUGCCAGCAGCCGCGGUAAUACGGAGGGGGCUAGCGUUGUUCGGAAUUACUGGGCGUAAAGGGCGUGUAGGCGGCCAAUUAAGUCAGAGGUGAAAUCCCCGAGCUCAACUUGGGAACUGCCUUUGAUACUGAUUGGCUAGAGUUCGGGAGAGGGUAGUGGAAUUCCCAGUGUAGAGGUGAAAUUCGUAGAUAUUUGGAGGAACACCAGUGGCGAAGGCGGCUCACUGGCUCGAUACUGACGCUGAGGUGCGAAAGUGUGGGGAGCAAACAGGAUUAGAUACCCUGGUAGUCCACACCGUAAACGAUGAAUGCCAGUCGUCGGGUAGCAUGCUAUUCGGUGACACACCUAACGGAUUAAGCAUUCCGCCUGGGGAGUACGGUCGC